rnacentral:rRNA from 1 species
GACGAACGCUGGCGGCGUGCUUAACACAUGCAAGUCGAACGGUAAGGCUCCAGCUUGCUGGGGUACACGAGUGGCGAACGGGUGAGUAACACGUGGGUGACCUGCCCUGCACUUCGGGAUAAGCCUGGGAAACUGGGUCUAAUACCGGAUAGGACCAUGGUGUGGAUACUGUGGUGGAAAGUUUUUUCGGUGUGGGAUGGGCCCGCGGCCUAUCAGCUUGUUGGUGGGGUAAUGGCCUACGAAGGCGGCGACGGGUAGCCGGCCUGAGAGGGUGGACGGCCACAUUGGUACUGAGAGACGGCCCAGACGCCUACGGGAGACAGCAGUGGGGAAUAUUGCACAAUGGGCGCAAGCCUGAUGCGGCGACGCCGCGUGGGGGAUGCCGGCCUUCGGGUUGUAAACUGCUUUCACCAUCGACGAAGGUUUUCUGACGGUAGAUAGAGAAGAAGCACCGGCUAACUACGUG